UCCACGAAAAAUUGUUGGAAUUUAAAGAACACAUAUACUCCAGUCAAAGCGUCGGAAAAAAAGGGCCUCACCUUGCGCAGAGAGGCACUGUCAGUUUUUAUUUCAUGGAUCGAUAGGGGUAUAUUUAAAAGGCUUAAACCCAAUUUCUCACCACCUGAUCAUUCUUUUUAGCGGAGUUAUUCACAAAAAUGCAUUUUUUGGGAUAUUUUACUUCUAAGCUAAUAUCUUUGCUCCAGAUUGUCGUAGACCAAAACAUACAUUCUCUUCCUUAUAAUAUUUUCUAUCGUUGUAUGUAAUUUCAUUGUAUUUGAGUGAGUAAAUACAAAAUGGCAGCCAUUUAAAGUCAAAUUCUUGUUGUUAAAAAACACAUUUUUGUCAUUAUUUCGAAAAAAGCUUAUAUCAUGAUUGACAUUUUUCUAAUUUAUUUUGUAGCCCUAUUCAUGUCCUGCAUUUUACAGAAAAAAUCAGCUCUUUAUCUCCAAAGAUGGCCGAGCAAUUGAUAAAUGAACGCAUGCAAAACCGGUGCGAAAACACCCAAAAAUAUCGUUUUUUGGGAAUAACUCGGCUUCAGAGUGUCCUACGACAAAAAAUAAAGCUAUUAAUUGUUCGUUACAAUAUUUUCUAUCGAUUUGGUGCACAUUAUUUUUGUUGAAACAAAUAAAAAAUAAGUUAUAUUAAGUCAAAGACGUUUUUUUGUUUAGCAAACUCUUGCCAUAUUAUUUUUGCGAAUAACUCCGCUAAUAAGAAUGAUCAGGUGGUGAGAAAUUGGGUUUAAGCCUUUUAAAUAAACCCCUAUCGAUCCAUGAAAUAAAAACUGACAGUGCCUCUCUGCGCAAGGUCAAAUGACGCUUUGACUGGAGUAAUAUACUUGUUGAUAAAACACAUUGUGAAAAACAAUCUAGUACUCAUUGAUUUUUGUGUAUUUUUUUGUAUCUAACAAUUUAUUCAAAAUAAUUAUUCUCUAUUCUUUUUUCAAAUGUUAUAAACGUGUUUUGUGUUUUUAUUUCAUUUGCAACUGGGGCCUACAAUAACCCACGACAAAAAAGUUCUUUGAAAUUUAAUAUUGAUUACGAGAUAUUUGAAUAUUUUUUUUUUAAAUUUAAAAAUAUGGCGAGUUCUUCAUUACCAGCUAUUGAGAAAUUAAAGGGCAGAGGAAACUAUAAUAGUUGGAAGUUUGCUGUCGAGAAUUAUCUGGCGCUGGAAGAUCUCUGGGAUUCUGUAAUCACUGAAGAAAAGGAUAAGAAAAAAUGUGCGAGGGCAAAAUCAAAAAUUAUUUUGCUAAUCGAACCAAUAAACUUCGUGCAUGUGAGGAAUGCUACAACUGCUAAGGAAGCCUGGGAGAAGCUUGCUGCAGCUUUUGAUGACAAAGGAUUGACAAGGCGUGUGGGACUUUUAAGGACUCUAAUAACGACCAAUUUGAAGGAAUGUGGAUCUGUUGAGAUUUAUGUCAAUAAAAUAAUUUCCACAGCACAUAAACUUACAGGCCUAUUCUGGGCAACCUCACUGAUGCCUCACAAGUCACAAUAACCUCAUAACUCGAGUUUUGUGACUUUUUCGUAUUCUGGCGAAAACCUCACAGUCACAAGAACCUCAUAAGGUGAGGUGAGUUUUGUUUUAUGAUGUUUUUCGUAUUCUGGCGUACCCUCACAACUUGUGAGCCUCAUAAAAAUUGUUAAAAUUGUGAUCUCCUUCAGAGCAGGUCACAACUCACAAAUUACUAGAGUUUUGAUAUUUUUUACUUCCAUAAAAUGUUUUGAGAACAAAUGAAAUUUUUUUUUUUUAUUUGUGAUUCAACAAAAAUAGAAUUAGACCUUGUUUUAAAACAAUUGUUGCAUCUUAUUGCAGAACAAAAAUCUUAAUCAAUAAGCAAUUCCAAGAAGACUUACCUACCCAAAGGAAUGUGUCUGCCAUUGGAUUUUGGUUGCAUCUGGAGAUAGUUUCUAAGAAGUCAUCGAUGAAUAUUUGCGACAUGGCUUGCGUGCGUUGGCGUUGCAUUGGCUGUCGUGUCAAAUCAUUGCAUCAUUGCAACCUACACAAAGUGUGAUUCCAUCAAUCGCAAAAAUAGCCGCAUGAAAUCAUCACAUCCACGAAUUUCAAAGGACACAGGAGCACCUACUGAUAUUAGACAACUAGAUUUUGUGAAUACAACAAAUUUAAAAUCGUAGGCUUCUUCAAGAGUUUGUUGAUCCAAAGGAUUUCAACAAUAUGAGCAUUUGGAUUUCCUGUCGGAGCUGCAACCUUAGCUAAUGGAGUUGGUAUCGAUGUUGAAUCUAACAUCGCUGUAGACUUAUCGAAAUGCAUGCAAAAUGUCGAAGUUAUGCAAGAUCUGUAAGAGUUUGUAUUGCAUAGACCUUAUAUCAAAGCUGGACUAUUGUACGCAAACCUUCGAAAGGGUGCAUUAUUGUACAACGGCAAGGCCUAACCCAAUCGAGAAGUCAGUCAGGCGGUUCCUGUAAUCGUCAAACAAAAGUAUCCUCUUACCCCCAAGGGAGGAACUAGCUAUGAGGAUUAUGUGAGAUGUAUAAUUAUUAGAACCGCCUACAAAACAACAAAAAAAAGUGUGAAAAGCUCAAACCAAUUUAUAGGUGAUCAGAACUCGGUGCCAGUAAAUUGUGUCCAAUCAGCAACGGCAACAACAAAUCCAUUCAUGCCAAAGCAUUAGCCGAUGCAGCCAAUGCAACUAUGACAACUAGCACAUGACCGUACAUAAUAAACAUGCGGCAGUAGGUAGUUGAUGGGUUUUUGAUGACAACCGCUGCAGGCUAUAAUUGAAACAUCAAAAACAAAACAAAAAAUCCAGAACAUACUGUUUAGACAUAAAACAAAAUUGUUGUUAUUUAUUUAUUUAUUUAAUACAGGGUUAAAAAUAAAUACAAUUAUUAU